AGCCUGAUGCAGCGACGCCGCGUGAGGGAUGACGGCCUUCGGGUUGUAAACCUCUUUCUCUAGGGAAGAAGGGAAAGUGGCGGUACCUGCUGAACAAGCGCCGGCUAACUACAUGACAGCAGCCGCGGUAAUACGUAAGGCGCAAGCGUUAUCCGGAAUUAUUGGGCGUAAAGAGCUCGUACGGGUUUUGUCGCGUCUGCCGUGAAAUUCCGGGGCUCAACUCCGGAUCUGCGGUGGGUACGGGCAGACUAGAGUGAUGUAGGGGAGACUGGAAUUCCUGGUGUAGCGGUGAAAUGCGCGAUAUCAGGAGGAACACCGAUGGCGAAGGCAGGUCUCUGGGCAUUAACUGACGCUGAGGAGCGAAAGCAUGGGGAGCGAACAGGAUUAGAUACCCUGGUAGUCCAUGCCGUAAACGUUGGGCACUAGGUGUGGGGGACAUUCCACGUUUUCCGCGCCGUUCUAACGCAUUAACUGCCCCGCCUGGGGAGUACGGCCGCAAGGCUAAAACUCACAGGAAUUGACGG
rnacentral:rRNA from 1 species